rnacentral:lncRNA from 1 species
CUUUUAUAGUUGUAUUUGACCAGGUGGGUGUUUCAUAAAGCUAAGCUUGUUCGUAAGUUAAGAGCGACUUUAAGGAAUUCUGGCGAUCCCUUGUUUUAAGUGUCUCUUUAAUAACUUAUGAACAGCUGAUACGUCCCCCUGGUCAGGUGUGUAUGAAAUUAUCUCCUACCUCAGUCACUAAUACAAGAAUGUAAUCGUCUUUGGGAUGUGUUUCAAAAUGAUGUUAGUGUGACUAAUAAUUCUCCCAGUGAUGCGUGGUGUAAUGUAUUACUGCAUUGUCAGACCAUGUAAUGCUCAUGAGAUACUCACGACUGUGUGUCAGAUGUGAGAGUCUUUGAGUGUCAUGUGCACAUUGGCACUUACAACCCAACUUUAAGACAGACUCACAUUAUAAAUCUUUGUGAAACAAAUUUAGAUGUACAUGUAUAUCUGAGAGAACAGUUGAUAAACAAGGUAAUAUCUUUCUGCCUAUUGUUGAUAUGUUAUUAGAAAUGCAUUUAUAUAUUUACAUGUACACUGAUCAGGAGCAUAUCCAGCAUCAGAUCCUACAAAGCAUUUCAUGGCCCCAAUUGUCUGGGGACAAUAGUGACUAUUAUACUUGUGCAUGGACCCAUUGGCGGAAAUCUGUCCCCAAAGGUAGGGAGGACCAGGAGCUGAAAACUUUGACAAGCAACAAUAAAAAAAUAAAGGUUAUCACCCAAAAUGUAAAGCCUUUUUAGCAAAAAAAUGAAAAAAAAAGUUUUCACUCAAAAUUCACUCGAUUGUGAAUUAUGGUUUUUCUAUUUCAUAAAAGACCAAAAGUAUGGGGGGGGGUUUGAUAUUGUGUUCCCCUACUAUUUUGUGGUAGGGGGGAUGCAUCCCCCUGUCCCCUGGGAUUUCCGCCCAUGCAUGGACCCAUACAUUUCUUUGUCAUAAUUAAUGCUGGUUAUGCUAGUGCUGAUGAUGCAAUAAUUUAGUGUUUGUUCCGUAAUGUUUAGGCAAUAGAUAAACUUUUAGAAAAUUAUUACCGGCAAUUCAUACUACCUGAUACAUGUGCUGAUAUACAUUUAUAUAGAUCUGAAAUAUUGUUAUUUGUUAAUGUUUAACAUGAAUUCACUGAUCAGCUUGAUUUUAAUGUUUGCUUUACAUGUCAGUCUUCUGAUACCCUACUACUAAAAUAUAAACCACAUAGUUUCUUAUUUUAGCUUGUUUCAUGACGUUUAACCAAGUUUUUUCUCCCAGGUUCAUGGGAGAAAAGUGCAUCUUGCCAAAUUGGCAGCAUUGUAAAGCCCAGCUAAAUGAUUUUGUAAUAAAUCAUAUUUUGAAAUAAAUGUGAAGGUUCCAAGAUGUAAACUUAUUUUAUUUGAAGUUUGGCAUCAUGUUAGGAAUAAUAAAAUCAUAAUUUUGCUUUGCAGCAAGCCCUGUGGUCGGAGUAAACCCCAAAUCGACUUCAAGUCACAGCCGAUGAUUACAUCACUGCCAUAUGAAAUUGAAUUUCCUUUUAUUCCUACAGGGUUUGAGGCUCGACUAGACUGAAUUUCGAUAUCAGUAGUCCUUAAUACUAUUCUGAACUCUGAUCGCUAAGAUUAUUUUGGCUUGAAUGUUUUCAUCUCAAAUGUUACUACAAAUUCUUUGAAAUUUGGAUCUCAUUGAAUUACAUAGUGUGCACCGGGCCUAAGGUCCCCCAAUGUUUGUUUGCCAUAAGUGGGGAAACAAUUAAUUAGUAGUUAGUCUAUUUUGCAUCUGUUGAUCUUUGAAUAACAUUAGCCAUGCAGGCGCUCUAUUCUUGUAAAAUGGAGAUCAAAUGGUGAGACCUGCAUGAUUUAACGAUAUAAACAGUGCUUAACUGCUCCAUUUGCAAGAUUCAACAACUUUCUUGACACUUUUCUAUUGGUGGGAUAAAUUUGAAUGAAAAUACAUUGUCAUGCUAGGGUCAGUUGAGUUUUAAAAGCAAACAAAGUUUUUUGUUUGCCGGCCUAUUAUGGUCUGAAAAGACGGAUACUAUUUUUAAAUGAUAUAGUAAUUUCUCAUAAAUUUUAUUAAUUUGAAAUUCAAAAGAAGUUUUCACUUUACUGUAUUACUGACUGGUACUACUACUAAGAUAUAGACAUUUUAUCUUUGCAAUAUAUAACUUUUUUAUGUUAACAUGAAUAAUCCAGGAAUAAAACACAGGGUUUUACACCAAAAUUGGGUCAACAUUGUAUUUAUUCACUUCCAUAUAAUAAUAACUUUUUUCAUGUAAUACAUUAUUUUCAUACAAUCGUAUAUAUAAAACAUACUAAGUCAUGAACAACUGUAAUACAACUGUAUAUACACACAAUAUAAUACCUAUUUUCCUAAUGCAAGUACCUGAAUAUCAUAUGUUAUUAAUAUACUUGUACAUUAUGUACAUAUACUUUGUACAAUUUGGAAUUCUGAGCCCUGCAUUGAAUUUUAUUGGAAAUUUCAAUCCUGAAUCAAAAAUGAGAAUUUAUUCGAAAAAGAUAAUUGGAGGACCAAGUUGGAUAGUUCGUAAAAAUUAGUUGACCACAAUACUUUACAAAUCAUGAAUGUUUAAGAGUGCAAUGGACAGAGUACCGGUGCUUUAUGAGGUGAAAGAUGAAAUGAUCCAUUCAACGAGGCGUAGCCGAGUUGAAUGGAUCAUUCAUUUCAUCUUUCACCAAUUGAAGUAUUCUGUCAAUUGCAUGAAUGAAAAACAUUCGUUAUUUUGUUUAAAUGACACCUAAAAAACAUCAUUGUCAUUUGAUGUAAAAUGUGCUCAUCCAAUGCCAGCUUGUCUAUUGAUUGUUGCGUACCUACAUGCGACGCGCUGCAAACACAAGUGUUUUUACUUGAGGUACCUGGAGUCUUGGUUUGGGGGACAAAAUUGUAUGGAUCCAAAACUGCACGCUGAAUGGAUGAUGACAUUGUAAAAUGGGCAGAAAGAUCGACAUCAAACAACAGAUCAAAUGACAAGGAUCUAUCGAGGUGUAAUAUAAUUGACACUACGCAUUUAUCAGUGUUUUCCUCUCAAAGCUAUUACAAACAAACACUACAGUAUCCAUGGAUACUUCCUCAUGGCUCUUCAUUCUGAUCAGUAUUUAUUUUUCUUUUUUUUUUUCUUUUUUUGCAGCCAAUAAAUAUAUCUUGGGAUAAAUUGGUUGACCCACAGGGACUUCAUGAUAAAUAAAUGUUGGUGACGCAUGCUUCAUGGAACACAGAUCAAUGAGCAUGUGUGUCUCCAGAAUACAGGAGUCACUUGAGCAGAUUCUAAUACUAAAGACAGUUUGGAAUAAAUGAAGUCCUCCAAUAAAACAAUUAACAAUUGACUUAUAGUUAAUCCAAGAGUCAGUCAAAUACAGAAUAUAGACCAAGCACUGAUCAUGUUUUAAGAUCAUAGAUGUUAACCCUUAGCAUGCCACAGACAUAUUUUUGCAAAUUGUGCUUGUACAAUUGAAACAAUUCAUUUUCUCUGCUGGCAAUACAGGCUUUGUAAAACAUUUAUAUUGGCUAGUCACAGUUUGAGUGAAAACAAUCCAGGUACCAUUGCAAGGUGGAUGCCAUGCUUGUACACAAAAGCACAUAAAAAAAGUUGUUUUUCACGGCCUGAUGAUGUUCAGGGAAAAAGGGUAUCAAAAAUUGCCAAAAUCUAUCUUAUGUGUAUAUUUCACAUUAUCAAAAAAUUUGAAAUAUUUCAGGCAUUACUUAGGGUCGGAAAAAUAUGAAAACAUUAUUUCUAAGGUCCAUUAUAAGAGCACAUGCAAGCAUGGUUUCCACCUUAUAAUGACAGUCCCCUUGAAAACAAGACUUAUAACAAAUACACCAUACACUGUGUGACAUAUCAAAUUACCACAAUAUUACAACUAUAUUAUAAUAUUCAUUUUCCCGAUGUAAACAACAAAGCACAUGAACUUAGCCCCUACUGUUAAUACAGUAACAUCAGGCCUGGGUUCAAAUUUGAGGUGUGAAAAUAACGACUAAUGAGGCUAAUAUUAGAGGUCUGAAAGACAAUAACAGAGAAUCUAUGGUUAAGCCUUAGUAAAGCAGUUUAGUCUGGGCUAUUAAAGCUUUGUGCGGGACUAAAAAUGAAGCGUGCAAAGAAUAUCACACAGGCUUGAAUGUAUUGCAAUAACAGGGUCUGAAUGCAUAGGUUAUACAUGUACAAUAGAGGUAUGUUCAUGGAAAUCAUAAAAAUCCUGAUUAUUGACUUUUGAGCAAUUCCAUAAUAUAACCUACUUUAUUGUACAUUUCCUAGUCCAAGAACAAUGUUCUACCGACAUAGGAAUACGUAAUUAAAAAAAAUUAACUAAACUUUUGCAUAUCCACUGACAAGGUCAGUGUUGAAAAUGGAGCAACACUAACACCAACGACUAACACCAUACUUAGACUAGAGCUAGGACUGCUUUAGCUUGAGGGUACAUGUAGGAUAAACAACUCAAUUCAGCUCUCAACACAAACACUGACUGAUACUACUCAAAAUGAGACAGGUGCUAUGACUAACAUUCAGUGUUAAUAUAUCAAUAUCUCAAUUGGUGUUAUUCAGUAAACCAAACAGAAGGUGUUGAAACUAGAUUCACCAGGUUAUUAAUUUAUCAACAUCAAUACAAUAACACCAUAAAAUACAUCGUUCACAAGACCGCAGGGUGAUUCCUAGAGAACAAGAGUGUUGUGGCUCAGUAGAUAAGUCUCAAGACUUUGAACCACAAGGUCUGGGGUUCAAAUCCCACCACGGUACUCGCAUCCUUUGACGAGGCGUUUAUCUACAUUUACUCUACCACUCUCCACCCCCAAGUGUAGAAAAUGGGUACCCGAUAGUAAGGAAUUCCUUGAAUGCUCAAACAUCCAAUCAGGAUAGCUGUGCUAAAGCUGGGUAAUAGUAUGCAGCGCUUAGAAACAUUUGUAUUACACGCUAUAUAAAUGUGCAUAUUAUCAUUUAUUAUUAUUAUUCAAUCAAUAAGAGGCUUGUCAGAGAUUUUCACUGAAUAGUUAAAUUUCAGCCAAUACGAUGCAAGGAUUUCACUAGCUUAUAACAAGUAGUCAGGGAUUUUUGUCUUGUCCGGUAUUGCAACACUGCCCACAUUAAUAUUCAUCUUCCACAGAGAACUUACUGAGGAGAUCUCAAUUUCACACAAUCCAAUGAAAUGAAUCAAUGUAUGGAUCAGGGAGAUCAGUGAAUUUCCAGGGAGUCUCCCCAACGAUCAGGAAAACCUGGCAGCCCUAGUGGGUGUUUGAUAAAGCUGUUCGUAAGUUAGGAGCGACUUUAAGAACGACUGGUGAUCCCUUCUUUUAGUAAAUGGUAUAUACAUUGGCGAUUGUCUAGCGUGUAAGAAAGUAUCACCAUUCGUUCUUGAAGUAGCUCUUAACUUACGAACAGCUUUAUGAAACGGCACCCAUGACUUGCUGAACCUGGUGGGAGUUUCAUAAAGCUGUUAGUAAGUUAAGAGCGAAUUUAGGGAUAACUGGUGAAUCUUUCUUAUACACUAUAUAAUCACCAAUGAACAUUAAUGGUGAAUAUCAUUUACCACAAGAAAGGUUCACCAGUCUUCUUAAAGUCAUUCAUGACCUGAAUAGGUAGCCUAGCUUAGCCAGGGAAAUAAUAGCAGAGCCCGCUGGGAGAACAGUUUUCAGAAAUGAAGUGGCUACCCUGGGUUAAGAACAGCAUUUUAAAACAGCCCCCUGCUGUAUUUUAGCUUGAUGUUAGAACCUAGGUUCACCAGCUAGAUUUAAGCUCUCAACACCUAAACCACCAUACUUGGCAUCACUCAUAUGACUGCGGGAU